rnacentral:rRNA from 1 species
UCGCGAAUCAGAAUGUCGCGGUGAAUACGUUCCCGGGCCUUGUACACACCGCCCGUCACACCAUGAGAGUCGAUAACACCCGAAGCCUGUGAGCUAACCGCAAGGAGGCAGCAGUCGAAGGUGGGGUUGAUGAUUGGGGUGAAGUCGUAACAAGGUAUC